AGUAUAAUGCCUGAUAAAAGGAAUAUUCUGAUAGGAUAAAAAACGUGAAAAAUCACUUAUACUA
rnacentral:tRNA from 1 species